AACGAACGCUGGCGGCAUGCCUAACACAUGCAAGUCGAACGAGACCUUCGGGUCUAGUGGCGCACGGGUGCGUAACGCGUGGUAACCUGCCCUUAGGUUCGGAAUAACUCCCCGAAAGGGGUGCUAAUACCGGAUAAUGUCUUCGGACCAAAGAUUUAUCGCUUUUGGAUGGGCCCGCGUUGGAUUAGCUAGUUGGUAGGGUAAAAGCCUACCAAGGCGACGAUCCAUAGCUGGUCUGAGAGGAUGAUCAGCCACACUGGGACUGAGACACGGCCCAGAAUCCUACGGGAGGCAGCAGUGGGGAAUAUUGGACAAUGGGCGAAAGCCUGAUCCAGCAAUGCCGCGUGAGUGAUGAAGGCCUUAGGGUUGUAAAGCUCUUUUACCCGGGAUGAUAAUGACAGUACCGGGAGAAUAAGCUCCGGCUAACUCCGUG
rnacentral:rRNA from 1 species